CCUGGUUGAUCCUGCCAGUAGUCAUAUGCUUGUCUCAAAGAUUAAGCCAUGCAUGUCUAAGUGCAUGCCAAAUUAAGGUGAAACCGCGAAUGGCUCAUUAAAUCAGUUAUGGUUCCUUAGAUCGUACCCACAUUUACUUGGAUAACUGUGGUAAUUCUAGAGCUAAUACAUGCAAACCAGAGUUCCGACCAGAGAUGGAAGGAACGCUUUUAUUAGAUCAAAACCAAUCGGUGGCGGGCUUUGCUCGUCCACCGUUUACUUUGGUGACUCUGAAUAACUUUGUGCUGAUCGCACGGUCUCGUACCGGCGACGCAUCUUUCAAAUGUCUGCCUUAUCAACUGUCGAUGGUAGGUUCUGCGCCUACCAUGGUUGUAACGGGUAACGGGGAAUCAGGGUUCGAUUCCGGAGAGGGAGCCUGAGAAACGGCUACCACAUCCAAGGAAGGCAGCAGGCGCGCAAAUUACCCACUCCCGGCACGGGGAGGUAGUGACGAAAAAUAACGAUACGGGACUCAUCCGAGGCCCCGUAAUCGGAAUGAGUACACUUUAAAUCCUUUAACGAGGAUCAAUUGGAGGGCAAGUCUGGUGCCAGCAGCCGCGGUAAUUCCAGCUCCAAUAGCGUAUAUUAAAGUUGUUGCGGUUAAAAAGCUCGUAGUUGAAUCUGUGUCGCACGCUGUCGGUUCGCCGCUCGCGGUGUUUAACUGACAUGCUCGUGAGACGUCCUACCGGUGGGCUUAGCUCCUUCGGGGGCGGUCCAACUAAUAUCCCAUCGCGGUGCUCUUUAUUGAGUGUCGAGGUGGGCCGGUACGUUUACUUUGAACAAAUUAGAGUGCUUAAAGCAGGCUAUCAUUUGCCUGAAUAUUCUGUGCAUGGAAUAAUGGAAUAGGACCUCGGUUCUAUUUUGUUGGUUUUAAGAAACCCGAGGUAAUGAUUAAUAGGGACAGAUGGGGGCAUUCGUAUUGCGACGUUAGAGGUGAAAUUCUUGGAUCGUCGCAAGACGGACAGAAGCGAAAGCAUUUGCCAAAAAUGUUUUCAUUAAUCAAGAACGAAAGUUAGAGGUUCGAAGGCGAUCAGAUACCGCCCUAGUUCUAACCAUAAACGAUGCCAGCUAGCGAUCCGCCGAAGUUCCUCCGAUGACUCGGCGGGCAGCUUCCGGGAAACCAAAGCUUUUGGGUUCCGGGGGAAGUAUGGUUGCAAAGCUGAAACUUAAAGGAAUUGACGGAAGGGCACCACCAGGAGUGGAGCCUGCGGCUUAAUUUGACUCAACACGGGAAACCUCACCAGGCCCGGACACCGGAAGGAUUGACAGAUUGAGAGCUCUUUCUUGAUUCGGU
rnacentral:rRNA from 1 species